UCAGGCAACACAACACAUUACAGAAACACACUGCAAAUUCAGACAACACAGAAACACGCUGCAGUUACACCAAACGAUAACAGAAGUGUUUCCAGAAGACACUUGAAAUAGAUGAGCACGUCUAAAUGGCAAAACACUCUAUGUUAGCUGGCUGCUACGUUAAUAGUUAAUUUCACUUGGAUUAAUUUUUUUAAUCAGCAAAAAAUUCUUCCCUCAUGUGAACGCAUGACGGUUGAACAAGUUUGAGUUGGUGGUCAGCUGGACCUGCUGCAGGGAAGGAAAAUUCACAUUGCUGUUCUCAGAUUCUCAGCUGCUCACAUUGUUUGGGAUUUUGGGUCUACCUCCAGCUUCCCAGACACCCACACUGUUUUCUGCUUUGGCAUCUGUUUCCUCUUACCGGUUUAACAGUGGAUCUGCAUACGCUUUACAAGAAACAGCUACAAACCUUAUGUCCAGUGAUCAGAUGAAAAGGUGGUCAUCAUGAAGCCAACCUGAUGGAGGCCUACAAAUCCAAGUGGGGGAUGUCAACUAGCAGCACAGAAAGCACCAUACUCAACAAGCAUGAUCAUGGUGUGGAUGAUUUAAAGCUGUCCUCCACCCCUGCAAAAGAUGAUGUACGCUCUUAUACACUGCACUUUUAUAAAAAGGAUUAUGAGAAGUGGUGUCAAUGGAAAAUAAAAAGCAAUGAGAAUAUGUACACAAUUGUAUUUUGUCUUGUUUUGUAAUGAUACAGUAAAAGUUGCUGGAUGAUUCGUUUUGUCUGCUUUUUUAGUUAGAAAAACAUUUUAUAUCACCAAUAUUUAAGAUCUUCAGAAGUCAGACUUGUUUAUGGUCUUUAUAUUGAAAUUGAGCAUCAAACAUUUAACUUGAUGACGACUUGUCUGUAAAUAUUCACUGCUGAAAAAAGUCUGAAAGAUAGAAGUCAAACAUGAAAAGUAGUUUGAAAGCAUCAGAUAAGGUAAGUCUGAUAGAUAGGUUUCAGGGAGUAGACACACUCAUCCAAUAUGUCCCUUAUACAGAGACCAGUUAUGCUCCAUAAUCAGUUUC